GCAAUUGGCUGACUAAAAAGGAUCCCGCCCACUGAACUGGCAGGCAGCAGUUCAGCACAGGCUGUGAUACAGCAGCCAGACGGAGAAGCAGGGAGAAGGAGUCCUGGAAGAAUGUAAUUAGCUGCAGAAUAAGUCGUUUUGUGGAAACAUUGUCUGUCCUUUGCUGUCUAUCCUAACAGCAGCAAAGCAUCAUUUAACGUCUUCAUUUGACGCAGUACCAGUCAAAAGCUUGAGCAGACUGUCCUGCAGGUUAACUAGCAUGUUAACCUAUUAAGCUUCUGUUACUUGUUAUUAUAACAGAUGAAGGUUUAGUGUACGUUUUUCUACACUACUGUGCAAAAAUCAGAAACUAUACUAAAAGCUAUAAAAAUGAAAACCAAACAGCAUUCUAAGGAAUUCAGAGAUAAGGUUAUAGACAUGCACAAGGAAGGACAUGGCUACAAAAAAAUAGCCAAGUGUUUGGAUAUUGCAGUGAGCACUGUCGGAUCAAUAGUUCGGAAGUGGAAGCUCUACCGUACCACCGAGUCACUGCCUAGACAAGGCCGGCCUUCAAAACUGAGCAUCAUAGUAAGAAGCGGACUUCAGAAGCAAGCCAAAAGGAAGCCAACAAUCACUUUGAAGGAGCUGCAGAGUAAAGUGGCGAAGACUGGAGUGAUAGUGCACAGGUCAACAAUAUCAAGAGCUCUGCACACAACUAUUCUGUAUGGGAGGCUUGCCGUAAGGAAACCACAGGAGAAACAAGAAAAUCAGAGCACUGAAGUUUCUGAAGUUUGCCAGGAAGCAUCAGAGCAACCCACUCAAACAGAUUUGGAGAAAUUUGGUUUGGACUGAGCUAAUUUUCACUUUCACUUGUUUUUAAGAGGAUUCCCACACUGAUAUAUUUUGCCUCUUUGUGGUCCUCCUAUAAUGCUUUACAUGUUCAUGGAGUAAGAGAACCCUAGGGUUGCCAGAUAUGUUACUUGGAUGCACCUAAAAAAUGCAAUGUAAGAGCUCACCCAGAGCCCAUUCCUACACCUUCUUCUAUUCAUGGCUCACCCAGGGGCUAAACACGGUUUUCAUUGGUAGUCCAUUAUCUCACAGAUGUCCUUGGAAUUCCAGCUGGUUCUGAGCUCAAGCUUCUGACUCGGCGUAAACACAAACUCUGCAACAUCUGGCACAAUUUAAACACGACAGAGGAAGUGGGGCGACUGGGAGUGGAGUGAGCUUACCACUGAACAUAGCAAGUAAUCAGAUUACAGUCCUAAAAAGACAAUUUCCACUUUUAUGUUUGGAAAUGGGGAUAUCGCAAUAUAGGAUUUCACGUCAUACAUAAAAUGACGCAAAAUGUUUUGAUUUGUACUGUAUUUGUGUGUUUUAUGAAUAUGUAAUCCAUCCAACUUGCUGUACUGCAUCUAGUUAUGUGUUAUGUUUAGAAAUGAGGAUUAUUAUAUGAUUGAUUUGGGCCGAAGGAUGUAUGACAAAGCAGCAGUUCUCAGGAUCAGUUUUCUGGACAGGGAUUAAGCCUAGUCCUAAAAUUUCCUUUUAAUGUAAAAUCUCCAUUCAAAGAGCAUUGUAGUGCAAGACUAGGCUUAAUACCUCUCUGAGAAACUGCCCCUAUAUGUAUUAUUUGAUUAUUAACCCUAAUGGAGACGUUGCAUUAUUUGGUAAUCCAUAGGUUCAGUAUAUCUUGUGCAGUCCCACAGGGUUCUAUUUUGGGAAGCAUUAAACUGAUGCUAAUUUUUGUCAUGUUAGUAGUAUCAUUAUGAAGUAAGUGCCUAAAGGGUUUAAGGGAUUAAGCCCAAUGUAGAGAGUUAUGCAGUAAGAAUGCCCCUCAGAUCUUUUUCCUAUUGCACAGACUUUAUUUAAAUUUUGUAAUCUGGUUAAACAUACAAAUUCUGCUUUGUUGUAUACACCCAUUGACAUUUUAUCAACAUUCCUUAAGCUAUCUCCUAGGAAAGGUCUCUUGAGAUGUGUGAAUUCAAACUGCAGGACAUCCCUCUGGACCACUGGCCAAUGAGACAUCUUGAAUUGGCACUUCCAAUUCAUAAAACCUUUAGGUGUCAACUUCUGAUUAAAAAAUAUAUGAUUCCAGUGUCUGACUGAUACUCUGGACUGGUUGUUAUAAGUAAGGCCUGGUGGGGCACACGUCAGUGAAUUGUUCUUUAGUUUCCAUGAGACAUAGCAAAAGUCAUGGCCUACGUACUAGUUCCUGCCCCAUGACCCAUGUGGCAUGUCACUGUAUUGAUCCAAGUGUCAGCAAGUGUAAUCUUUUCUGAUUGAUAUUUCUCUGUUGAAGUUAUGUUUUAUGUUUUAUUUGUAAGGUUUUUUUAUUCUGUAUUUGAUCUGUUUUUUGUUUUUUAUUUGCUUUCAUUAUUCUGAAGUGUUUGAUGUAAAGACUGUUAGGCCUACAUUAAAUGCAUUAAAUCUGAGCGUUAACAUUUCCCACACAAGACAA